UGAUGUGAUUCGUCUAAUUAACGAACGAGCUGAAGUGAGGAGAAACAAAGACUUCUUGAAAAGUGAUCAGAUGAGAGCUCAUUUGCAAGCUAAGGGCAUUGCACUCAUGGAUGUAGGCACGGAAACAAUUUGGAGACCUUGUGUUCCUGUUCAACAAGAAUCGGGAAUAGUGCCAUCAGAGGGCCAGAAGGUCCCUCCCAAGCCUGAAACUGCAGAAGAAUGCAGAUCUUGAUUCAAGUUCACCAAAAAAAACAUAUUGAAUUUGCUUCGUAAGGUGGUUUUUAUUGUCAAAACAAGUUGGUGGGAUCAAGGCCAUUUCUAGACAGUUUUGAUUCAUAAUUUAUAAAAUGUCUUUCCGUUUCUGACCUAAUUGUUACGGGAGAAAUUGUUUACUAAUGAAGGUGGUUAACAGCGAAUUAGGUUAGCAAAGAGAGUUAGCAGCAAGUUGAAACGGUGCUCUAGGAUCAGUUUUGACAGCUGUAUACUAACAGCUGUAACAGCUAAUUAGCUGAUAGUUUUCUUUUCAAUAUUUGGUGAAUUGAAUCUGUUUCGUCUCAUUUCUCCCUUCUCUCUUCUCCUCUUGCUAUUCUGUUUCACCGCUUCUCUAUUUUCUUCACAAUUAUCUUCUUCUGUUUCUUUUCUCCUCCUUUUCUUCUCUCGAAUUUCUCUCGUUCUUUCCUUCUAUGUCAGUUUCUGCUUCUCUAGUUUGUUCCGUAACACUAGUAAACUUGUAUAAUGAACCAAGUUCUCUCACGAUUUGAUUGAUUGCCUUGUUUCUGUUUGGCCUUUAGCUGCACAGACAGUGAGCCAGAUUUUUUUUUUCUUUUCUGAAAACAGUACUUUAAUAGUGUUGUAUACCGGUGCGUAACAGUUUUUAAAAGUUUGGUACAGAUGGAAUUACCCCAGGAUUAUCACAAAGGUCAACUCAGACGAACUCUUGCAGAAAUGUAGUGGCUAUUUUACUACGCUUAAGCAAUUUAUCUUUCAGAAUUCUUCUCUCUUUUCUUGCUCAAACUGUAGUCGAUUCGGUUAAUAGUAGAAUCAAACUAUUAUUAAUUGAAAUGUUAAAAUUUGUUUUUUUUUUUUUUUCAGAUCGAAUACGAAAGUCAUUAAAUUAUUUAAAAAUUUUCAUUUAAGUCAAUGAACUAUUCGAUAUUUUUUAUUUAAGUUAUUGGAUUAUCAAGUUUUCUUUUUUUAAAGUGUACCUAGUGAGCUUCAAGCGAUGAUUCAACAAUCGAUGCAAUUAAUCAAUACUCAUUAACAAAUAGAGAAACAUACAUUAGAUCCAAGUUAAUCUGACGAUUAAUGUUAAAGAUUGGAGAAUAAAGUUAUUUGAAUUUUGAUUUGCAUAUUCAUGACACCUAAAAUUAUUUUAUAUAAAAAUAUUAAAUUGGAGAAGAGUAAAGGAAAUAAAACUUUCAAUUAAUACAAGCGGCACAAAAAAAAACCCAUUUAGUAACAAAUUUAAUAAUACAAUUAUUUAAAUAAAAAUUUUUGAAUAAUUUUACCCAAUAAAGACUAAGCAUUAUAAACAAAUAAAUAUUUAACAAUAAAAUGCGUCACGCUCUUAUUUAUCAUUUUACACAUCAGUUUUCAACUAUCAAUUAAGUUUUACCAAACACUUUUAAAUAAACAGUUAAUAGAACCAGUUGGUCAAUCAAUUAAUAGAAUCAAUUGAUCAAACUAGUUAUUGUAAUCAAUUAUCAACUAUAAACUAAUUGCCAAACAGGCCAUAGUAGAUUCAAGCAAAAUGAAAGCGGGUAAUAUUAUUGGCAUGUUUAUUGGUAAGAUAAAGUAUUCAGAAACAAUGCAUGCUUUUUUAUAUAAAAAUAACUCUAAAAGUUUCAUUAUUUAUGAAAAUGACCCAUCUUCAAAAUAAAAUACGAGAAUGAUUUGUUUUGAGCUAUAAAUGAGAUAGUGCCAAUGAAAUCAGCAUCAACCCAUACAUCAUGCCAAUAAUUGGCAUUUUGAAUUAAAAAAUAUAUAUUUUCGGGUGGUGCCAACGAAAUUGGCAUCACCCGUAUUGAUACUCAUAUCCAUUCUUCUAAAAUACUCGUGUUUUUCCAAAUAAUUUUUUUUAAAAAUUUAUUAUUUUAUUAGGUUUGCCCCCUCCUCCAGCUUUUUUUUAAACCCAAAAUAUUUGAUUUUUUUAGUGCCAAUCAAUAUUUUUCCCCCCUAGUGUCAGAUUUUUUAUUUUAAACCCACAAGGAUUGAUUUUUUCUGGUGGUAUCAAUAUGAUUGGCGCCACCAGUAUAUUUUUGGCCCAUAAUGUCAGUUUUCUUUUUUUUUUUUUAUAAAUCUCACCCUAAUUUUUAUUUUUUUCACCCACUCACCCCAAUUCUUUCUUUCUCAAAUUUUUUUUAUUAUACUAUCUAUUCUAUUUAGAAUCUCGAUUUUCUUAUGUGUAAUUAAACAUUUAAUUAACAUCAUUAAAAUAAUUAUUUUGGGUUUAAAUAUUUUUCAAUAAAAAGAUUAACUUCAAAUAAAAAAAUUUGAAGUAUUCUUUUUAAAAAUAAAUUAUUUUGAGAAAGAAUUUUUUUUUUAAACAUAAAGAUUUAUUUCGGGUUUAAAACUUUUUGAAUUACUUUUUAAAAAAAAUAAAUUAUUUUGAGAAAGAAAUAAUUAAGGUGAGUGGGUGAAAAAAUAAAGAUUAGGGAGAGAUUUUAAAAAAAAAGCUUUUACUGCCAAAAAAAAAAUCAAAUAUUUUGGGUUUAAAAAAAAGUUGGAGGAGGGGACAAAAAACUAUUGGAUUGGCGUGAUCUAAUAAAAUAAUAAUUUUUAAAUUUUUUUUCUUUAAAAAUACAAAUAAUUUAAACGAGUAAAUACAUGUAUCAAUACGGGCGACUAAUUUUAUUGACACCACCUAAAAAUAUAUAUUUUAAUUCAAAAUGGUAAUCAUCGGCACCACCACCCAUUUACUAAUCUCAAAAUGCUAAUCAUGUAAAUACAUGAUGCGAUGGAUUGAUGCUCCACCACCCAUUUAGUGCUUGAAACAAAUUAUUUUCGUAUUUUAUUUUGAAGGUGAGAUAUUUUUUAUAAAUAAUGUAUUUUAUUUUGAAGGUGAGACAUUUUAUAAAUAAUGAAACUUUUAAAGUUAUUUUUAUAAAAAAAAAGCCGACAAUACAAGCUUCAAAUUUUGAUAAUCAUUUCUUUUUUUCACCCUUCUUUUCGUCUUCUUUUCAUCUUUCUUCUCUUCUUUAGCAGGUCCCACCGUAACAAUGUCUACUUUCCCUAUUUUCUUGAGUUUUUUGGCAAUGGCAACCGUGUCCAUCUCCCCUAUGACUGUCAACUUUUGCUCCUUCACAUCUGCCGCGAUUGAGUCAACCCCUGUUCAUCACCCAAACACGUGAUGUUUCAUCAAAUCAAUUUAGACCCAAAAAAAGGGGGUGUUUUCUUGAUUAUUAUUACCAUAUAUGUCGGCAACAGCCUCUAUAGCUUUCUUUUUUGUCUUUUCGUCGUUCAUGGUCAUGAUUUUCAAUACCACCUUCUGCAAAUUCAAUGACUAAAAGCAUUUAACCAAAAAAAGAAAUACAUUUCUGAUGAGAAAACUAAUUCUAAAGGGAAACCAAAGUACUGAACCAGGAAUUCAAGGAUAUGCAAGACAAAACUAAGUUACGGUUUUAAUGAAACUAAGCCUGUUUCAUAUUUAUAUGUAGGACUGCUGUAACAAUGGCUUACAUCAGCCAUGAUGAACAAUGACUGGACUUUUUCGUCCUUUUCUUACAAAUGUUGAUCCUAUUCAUCCAGUGAUGUAUGAAUUUAAAACAUCCCACUUAAUUUCUCUAUAGUAUUUGUUGCUGUUCAAGCCAUAGCUGCCAUCAUACUAAUAAUUAGAACUGUUCUAUAUUAUUUUUAUUUUGGCUUAGGUUCUGUGUUGCCAGCAGUAGUCCAAACCGACAUCCAUUGAAGCCGUUAUUGGAAGCUUAGUAAGCUUAGCCUCUAAAAACACACAACGCUUUAACAAAAUGAAUCAUAGAAACAAGAUUGCACCGAACAUGACAACAAAGAUGUUGCUGUCAUUUGCUGACUCUUUGUAGCCACGGGUCGAAUGAGUCGAAGUAUUCACACUGAAUCAGGAAGAUGAAGUAAUGAGAUUGUUAUUAGAUUGGAUUAAUGUGAUUUGGAAAUGAAUUAAUUUUAAUCUAGAAAACAAUGUAGGUGCUUGACUUCAUCAGACUUGCAUUAAAUAUGGUAUUGACCCACCUGAAAUUUCAAAUUUCUCUCUCUUAUUAUUUUAAAAAAAUCUGGGCUACCUUAUGUCUUCAAGUUGUUGUCACCUUACUAAUAUUUUUAGCCAACUUGGGCUCUUCUCCGUCCCUCAGCCCUCAGGACCCCCAAACUUAUGGUAACCAAACGUACUCUUUUGUAAAUAGGGGCCCAGUAAAUUUUUGCUCCUGCGAAUUUAAAUUAUAAAUUUUCUGCAGAGUUCAACCAUAUAACAAUUUUACUAUUUUGGGGCAACUUUAUUUGCAAAGAUUAAUAAUUAGGCCCUUUAGAUUCGUGAUACAAUAUGUUUGGUUGGACUGAAUAAUUUAUUCAAUUUUCGAAGGUGAUUUUUUAGUUCGAUUAAAAGAAUAAUCUAUUCGGUUAAGUCUAAGUGACAAUAAUUUUGAGCAUUCCCUAAAAUGGUUGUUUCCUACUCAAAAGGAAUAGAUAAUAAAUAAAAAAACUAUUUCUUCAAGAUACUUUAGAAUGACCCUUGCUCACCUUGUUGCCACGAAGAGUUCCAUUCAUCGUCAUCGAAAUAGUGAACAAUGGUAAAGAUGACAAAAGGUGGCAACACAAAGAAUACCACCCAAAAGCCAAUAGCAACCAAAAGAUACAAUAAAAGGACAGCUUUUUUGGGAUUUUUGGUAGCAAACUUUAGACUUAGAUUUAGGUUUUUAGAGUUUGAUUUAGCAAAAGAUGAGUGGAUAAUUGGAAAAUUGAGAAAAAAAAAAUCAAUUUGUGGUGAAAUUUUGAGGCAGCUACUGGCAGAGGAUGGUGAGGUUAGUUUAGAUAUCAAGAAAUAAUGGCGGUUCUGAAAAAUCACACAAUCAACUGAAGUUGUUACAAGAGAUUAUUUUAGUGUUAGUGUUAUUUAAGAUUAUUUUUCAAUUGAGAAAUAAAUGCAUAAUAUUAUUUUAAAAAUAAUAAUUCAAUAUAUAUUAAUAAAAUAAAAAUAAAAAUAUUUAUCCAAGUAGUAUAGGUGUCAAUUACCAAAAUAACAUCAAAUGUAUUGUACUUUUCUGAUUUUGCCACUGCUGAUAAUCAUUUCAAUUGAUUUUUAAAAAAUAAAAAGUAAAAAAGUAAACAAGUUGCAUAUAUUUUAUGCGACUAGCCACAAUAUUGUAAUAUAGAUUCACAAUAAUACUAAUUUUUGAGUAACUUUUAUUAAGUAAUUUUUUUAACAAAGUUUUAUGGUGGGGUCAAUUGGCUCUGCCACUAGGUACUAGACCUGUCCAUGGGCCGGGCGGCCCGAUAGCCCGCUCGAAAUAUGGGAGGGUUUGGGUAAAAAUAUAGGCCCGAAAUAUGGGUUUGGGCAAAAAACGAGGCCCGUUUAAAAAAUGGGCCGGGCUCGGGCUCAACUUUUUUGGCCCGGCCCGGCCCGGCCCCAAUAUAAUAAAUAUAUAUUUUUUAUUUUUAUUUUUUAAUUUUAAAAUACUUUUAAAAUAUUUUUUUAUUUUUUUAUUUUUAAAAUAUUUUUUUUGUGUUUAUUAAAAAUCGGGCCGGGCCGGGCUCGGGCUUACUCUUUUUUUCCCGGGCCGAGCCUGGGCAAAAUUUCAGGCCCAUAUUUCGGGCUGGGCCGGGCCUAAGAGUCGGGCCAAAAAUUUUUCUGGGCCCGGCCCGGCCCAUGGACAGCUCUACUAGGUACACAUAGUGUUCGAGGCAUAGACACUAGGUAGACGGAAUAGGAAGUUCAGUUAGAACUGAAAUUAUUUGGGUUAAAUUAUAGUUCUCCUCCAUCUAUUGUAUAUAAAUAAUUAGUAUGAUUAAUUAUUUUAAUUAUAAAAUUUAUGUCAAAUUUUUAUUAAAAUAUUUUUAAUUAGCAAUUAAGAUUUAUAAAAUCGGAUUGGUGGUUGCAUUGGUUAGAUCAUCGAUUCUUAGUUUAAUCGAUUUAGUCAAUUCAAUUGAAUAAUUUAUUUAAAAAAUAAAAAAAUAUUGGACCGAUUGCCUGGUUCAAUUGGUUUGUUGAUCAACCGAUACGAUCCAUUGUUCCAGACCGAUACCCAAAUCGAUUAUCAAUCUAAUCGGUCAGUUCAAUUAUGAAAACAGUGCUAAUGACAUUAUAAAAUAUCUACAUUUCAAAAACAACAUAGUUGGAAAUAAUACUUUUAAGAAAAAAAAAUUCAUCACAAGGUUUAACUUGAAUAAUUAAGGGAAUUAUAAAAAUAAAGCACUAAAUUAUACCAAAUUAAAAUACAAAUGUUAGGUUAAAUUUUACUAUUAGUCCCUAUAUUUUACAAAAGUUACGAAUUUAAUCUAUAUACUUUAAAUUUAUCGUUUUUACCUAUUGUACUUUUCAAUUUUAAAAUUUCAACCAUCACCAAACAAUAACUAUUAAAUUUAUUAAGUUUUACUAUUUCUAGAAUAUCUCAUACGGUAAACAUAUUAUCAUAUGUGCUCACACAUUACUUAGCACUCACUAAAAAUCUAGUUAAUGGAUUAACAACUAUUAUUUACAUCAAAAUUGAAAUUUUAAAAUUUGAAAAGUAUAAUGACUUGAAAUGAUCUGAUUGGAGAUUAUAGACUAAAAAACCUAUUAUUGUUCACAUACUACAAGGUUAGUACUUGAAUUUAACCAAUCAUAUUUAGCUGUUACUAUUUGGAUAAAUAUUAGAAAGUACAACGAUUAAAAUUGAUCAAUUCGAAAAUACAAAUUGACAUUAACCAAAUUAAAAUAUAAAGGUUAAAUCCACAAUUUUCGUAAAGUAAGGGACUAAUAGCAUAAUUUAACCCAAAGGCUAUACUCCAUAUUUGAGCAUAUUAAAAUACAAGGACUAUAUUCCAUAUUUGAGCAUGGUAAAAAGACCAAAACCAAAAUUUACCAAUUAUUUAAAUUAAAAGUAAUGGAGAAGCAUUUGCCAUUAUGUGCAUAGGAAAAUUCCAAUGGUCCCCAACUCACCUCCAAUUACUUUCAGCCGUCGGGCAAUUGUCAAUGCGGAAUACCAUUAUGGCAAUUUUAACGUUUAAGCAAAACCCCCACUAGAAGAUACCAUGGGUUUUUUAUGGAGGGAUCUAGGAAAUUCAUUCUUAUCUCACGCUCUCAAUUAUCUCCUGCACAUUUCUUUUGUCCAUUACCUUAACUCACAUUGAUCUUUACCACAGUUCACUUGGAACUUGUUCAUUACCCUUCCUCUUUGCCUUCAUCAACAAGAGAUUACUCUACUAAUAAUCACACACAAAUUGGUGAAAGAAGCAGCAUUUUCUUUGGUUUUUUUUUUUUUAAUGUUCAGUAAGGAAUCCAUGCUGCAGAGAUCUGGUCUGGCUAGACAUUUCUUUGAGAAACCUUCAUGGCGGCCUCCUCCAUUGAAAAGAAAAACUCCAACUACCACUGCUUUUCUUGUCUUAACCGUUUUUCUCAUGGCUGCUUUUGUUACAUAUUCCUCAUGGAUUGACACUGUAAGUUCAUGUUAGGUUCUGCAAAUGUUUUUACUUCAUGUUUAGUUGAGUUUUUUUUUUUUUUCUGUUUUUUUGCAGUCUGGGGUUUUUCUCGAGCAUUCAACGGACAAGACUGUGGUAAUAUCAGAGAAACCAAAAGUUGCAGUACGGAGGAUUGAAAUCCCACUGAAAUGCACCAAAAAUAAAAACCAGACACAAACAUGUCCAAAGAAUUAUUACCCCAAGACAUUCCGAGCAGAAGACAUUGACCCUUCAUCAAACCCUGUUUGCCCUGAUUAUUUCAGAUGGAUCCACGAAGAUUUACGGCCCUGGAAAACAUCGGGGAUCACCCGGGACAUGGUGGAAAGAGCUAACAGAACAGCCACAUUUCACCUCGUAGUCAAAGGAGGAAAAGCCUACGUUAAAAACUUCAGAAAAGCCAUUCAAACAAGAGAUGUUUUCACCAUCUGGGGCAUCUUACAACUCCUCAGGAAGUACCCCGGAAAGCUACCGGACCUUGAAAUCAUGUUCGACACUGAAGAUAGGCCGGUGAUUAAAUCAAGGGACUACAAAGGACCGAAUGCAACAGCCCCACCACCAUUGUUUCGCUACUGUGGAGAUAAAGAAACUUUGGAUAUAGUCUUCCCUGAUUGGUCCUUCUGGGGAUGGUAACGCUUCCCUUUUUUUACAAUUUACAGCCUCAUCUCCUGUCGUUUUUUUCCGUCCUGUUUUUCCUCUUUGUUGCCAUUUGCAUGGUAUAAUACAGAAAAUCACACUCGUCAGUUCUACUUGUAAUUCGAAUGCCAAAUGGUAUUAAAGGUAGUUUCGGUUGCAUGCUUAUAAAGGGGUCCCCUUUUUCAUUGACAAGUGGUCUGCCAUUUUUAGGCAUCUGACAACACCUGUAAAGUUUUGAAAUGCCUUGGAAUUUAACUAUUCGCUGAGCCUGCUUUCGCCUUGUCCCAAUUUCAUUAGUUAUUUUUUAUUCAUUUGUACAUACAGAACAGAAAAGAAUAUGUCAGUUACACACUCAAUAAAUUUCCAUGUCAGUUUAAAAUUAAACCAAAAUAAACCUUAUUUUUUCUGCAUGUGUGUUUUUAAGACAAUUUUGUAUUAAUUAACUAAAGGGUAUUUUUUUUGUACUUCAGGGCUGAGAUAAAUAUAAAGCCAUGGGACAGCAUAUUGAAAGAUAUUAAAGAGGGAAAGAAGAGGGAAUGGAUAGAUAGGGAACCAUAUGCCUACUGGAAAGGGAAUCCAUUUGUGGACGAGAAAAGGCAGGACCUUCUUAAAUGCAAUGUCACUGGUCAACAGGACUGGAAUGCUCGCCUGUUUAUCCAGGUGGAAAUCAAAAUGCUAUCAUUGUUAACAUUUCUCAGCAUAAAGCCUUGAUCUUUUGUUCAAACAAAUUUUAAAUUAACAGGCCUGGUUUGCAGGACUGGAUCCUUGAAAGCCAGCAAGGUUUUAAACAAUCCAACGUUGCAGAUCAAUGCACAUAUAGGUUUAAUUCUGGACCCAGAACAACAUUCUUGUAAACUCUUUAGCUAUCAAUUUGUAAAUCUUUUUCUUUGGUGUUUAUGUAGGUACAAGAUCUACAUUGAAGGGUAUGCAUGGUCUGUUAGUGAAAAAUACAUUCUGGCCUGUGAUUCUGUUACAUUGAUUGUACAGCCUGAGUUCUAUGAUUUCUUCAUGAGAAGCAUGCAGCCUGUGGAGCAUUACUGGCCUAUAAGGAAUGAUGACAAAUGCAGAUCCCUUAAGUUUGCUGUGGACUGGGGCAACAAUCACAAAAAGAAGGUACCAAUUGUACUUAAUAUUUGAAUUAUGUGAUGUUGUAUUUUGGCAUUGCCUUUGUUAAACCUGAUAGAAUAUUAAUGGAUUUGGCAGGCACAUGAAAUAGGAAAAGCAGCCAGUAGCUUUAUGCAGGAGCAGCUAAAAAUGGACUACAUUUAUGAUUACAUGUAUCAUUUGUUAAAUGAGUAUGCCAAGUUGUUGAAAUUUAAGCCAAGAAUACCUGAAGGAGCCAUGGAGUUGUGCUCAGAGGUAAUGGCUUGUCAAGCAGAAGGGCUCGAAGGGCGAAAAAAGAAGUUCAUGAUGGAAUCAUUGGUGAAAGGUCCUUCAAUCACAAAUCCGUGUACCUUGCCACCUCCUUAUGACAGUCGAGCUCUUGCAGUAUUUCUCAGAAGAAAAAAUAACUCAAUAUUGCAAGUGAAGAAAUGGGAGAAAGGUUAUUGGGAAAGUCUCAACAAGCAGUAGUUGAUGCCUGGUUUUUUCUCGUUUUCUUUUUGUCAUGAUGAAUCUAGACAACUAUACUUUUGGUUUAUGUCCAAAUUUAAGAAAUACAUGGCUGAACCCUUUACAGCAACAUGGAAGAAUACCCCCGAUCAAUCAAGUGAAUUUGUCGAGUCAACUAUGCUUCGAUUGAAACCAAGAUUAAGACCAAGAUCCAUCAAUUUAUAAAGGGGACUAUAGAUAAAUAAAGUGGUGAUUUCAGACAGGUCUGGCUUCUAUUGAAUCGGCCGGAUCAUUCAGACAGAUUAAGGUGGAUCAGUUGUAGAAUCCUUAAAUAAUGGUACCUUCAGCUAUGCUAUCAAAUGGGGAUGGAGGAGUAAGAGAAACAGGAAGAGGCCUAAAAUAGAUGGAAGAAGCUUGCACGGUUGCACCAUUGGGUUCUUGCAGCCUGUAGGGGUAUUUUUGGGUAUGUGGAACUCUGUUGAUUCUACCUCCCAAUAAAUGGCCUGUUUCUGGUGUUUUGGAUCACUUUAUUGUUAAUUUUCCCUUGAUUCUUUACUGUCUCCACAAAUAUUCUCAUACAAAUUUCAGUUUUGACCACAAUUCUCAGUUUUCUCUGUUAAUGCUAAUCUCACAUUUGAUUGUCCAUGUAAAGAUUGGGAGUACUAGGAUUAAUAAUAGUUGCAACCAAAGUAAUUGGAUUUCACAUCAGCAUUUAGAGAUCAAAGCGAAGUUUAAAAGGAAAAAAGGUUUAAAUAGGAGUAGCAAUCACAAUGGUAAAUUUCAUUUGCUAAAUGAAUUCCACAGCACUUCAAGAUCUACAUUACCUCCUGAAAGUAUAAUUCCUAUUUGGUUGCAGUCCUUCCAGGCAGGGUUGGUCCUGAAGCUAUCAGAUAAGACAGCUGCUAGGCCUAUGGCUCCACUUGGUUCAACUGCAACUUUAAGGAUCUCAUAGCAGAGUCUCAUUGCUUUGAUUAUUUCAGUAUCGUCUACUGUUAUUACGUCGUCGACGAGAUCACGAACUAUGGGCCUAAUCAAUCAUAAGGCAUAGAAUGAGACUUACUGAAAUUUGUGGACUAAUAAGUAAAUAUGUGUAGUUCCUGAAAGCUAAGACACAGUGCUGUGUGCAGAUAGCUAGUGCACUAACUGAUAAAAGAAAACAUCUACAAACAGGGAAUAUAUCCUUCACACAUCAAUAAGACACCAUGAAAAUGAAUUUACCAGGUGAAUUCACCAAGGAAAGCUCUCAGGCCAUCAGCAACCGUAUUUGUUUCAGGUAAGGUUACAAUUCUACCGGCUGCUUUUGAUUGAGCUGCAUCAUUUGCUCCCUUUGGUUCAGCGGCCAAAACUCGAAUGGCAGGAUUGAUAGACUUGGCAGCCAAUGCCACCCCUGAUAUCAAGCCACCUCCUGCAUAUUUUCAAAAACCAUUUGUAGUUGAGAAGAAAAAACUCGCAAAAAAACAAAAAAAGGUGAUCGACCGUGCAGGAAUAAUAACAGAAAAAAGGCUGCAACACAAACCACUGAUGGGAACUAUUAUAGUGUCUAUAUGAGGGGCUUGCUCUAAAAGCUCCAAGGAUAUGGUACCCUGCCCACUGAAACAGAUUUCCGUAUCAAUUAAUUCACCGAUAUAACAUUAAAUUACAGUAUCUCGGCUUAGAAAUGUUCAAUGUAUUACCUUAUAAUGCGCCCAUCAUUAUAUGGAUGUAUAAGAGCAGCCCCAGUUUCUUGCUGCACCGUGGUUGCAGUUUCCUCCCUCGACUUGAUUGUUGUCUCACUCCAUAUAACCUGACCACCAUAACGCACAACAUUCUGAACUUUGCACUGCGGAGCAUUCUUCGGUAUAACUAUAUAUGAAGUGAUCCCACGUAACUUUGCAGCCAAUGCCAAUGCUGCAGCAUGGUUACCACUAAUUUUGAAGGAUGUGAUCAGAUAUAACCCAAUUAAACAGCAAGGGAAAGGAAACAUAAUGAAGGGUAUAGAUCAUGGAUGUGUUUCAAGUAAACCUGCUAUGAGUUACAACUCCCUUAGCAGCCUGCUGAUCAUCAAGUGAAAAUAUAGCAUUGCAAGCACCUCUGAAUUUGAAUGCUCCCCUGUUAAGCAACACAUAGAACAGUCUCAAUUUGGAGAAUAAGAUGAAAACAAGUAAAUAAUGAUUCCUUUUACCCCUUUUGGAAACAUUCACACUUGAAGAACAGCCUCCUUCCAGAAAUAGCAUCCAGGGACUCCGAGGUCAUAAGUGGAGUUUUGUUUAUGAAAGAACUGAUGCGCGCCCGUGCUUCUUUGAUAGAGGAGAGAUCAGCAGCAUACUUCUCCUUGUUUACUUCCAUCUUUAAGCCACUGAAUCCAACACUUCAAUUCCAAAUUUGGGAGAAACAGGAACAAACCAAACAAUUUCAGAAGCUACAAUCUGGCUAAAGCAACAUCCAAUUAACAAAUGUAACUGUAAAUACAGAAGUCCCAUUGUCAACUAACCAAACUAAAAAGGAUGCAAAUUUAUUGAUGCAAACACUUGGAUUUUAGCAACUGUAUAAUGGGUCUACUGUAAAAUGAAAGGAAAGGAGGAGGAUGAAUCCAUAAACAUUAAGAAUGGAGGAUAAAGAUUAAAACUUUAACUACUUACAGAAUAUGACUUCGAGAAAGAUACAAACUUGAGUGCUGUUUUCUUAUUUGUUCGGAUUUUACAAAACUGGUGAGAGAGAGUAAGCAAAUGCCCAAAGCCCCGGAAAUGUCAAUGAGAGAUUAAAUUAGAGAUGCUAUCAAUGUAAUUAGCUAGGGAUCAUACGACGACGCUUUGGACGAGGAUUAAAUCAUGUUUUUUCUGUACUCAUGGGAAAUGUAAAAUGGCUAAAGCCUAAAGACCAACUCUUAUCCAUAGUCCAUCCCAAAUAGGAGGGGCGGAAAUAAACUAAAAACACAAAGGCAGAAACCCAGAAUCGUUAGAAGAAAAAGAAAAAAAAAAUGAAGCUCAACGUAUAUGCAGAUCGAAUUUCUCAGCCAUCUCGUGCUGUAGUCUUCUUCUGCAAGUAAAUUUCAAUCCUUUUACUUAUUUUCAACUACUAUUUGAUUCUGGGUGUUUUUUUCCCUUUCUUCAAAAUUGUUCCUUUUUUCUUUUUUUGUAUAUUUAGGGUAAAUGGUAUAGACUAUGAGGAGAUCAAAGUCCAUAUCCCAAAGGGUCAGCAUCUAACUCCUGAAUGCGAAGGUAUUCUUUUUUUUUUUUUGUUCGACGAAGGUAUUCUUUCAUUCUUAAUUAUUUCACCUUUCAAAUUAUAAUCAAUUAAUUAGUGUUACGAAAUUAUUUAUAGGAAACUGGACAUGUUCAGUUUUUAUUCCAAUGAUUUUGUUGCAGCAAUAAAUCUCAUGCAAAAGCUGCCUGCCAUUGCUGAUGGAAGAUUUAAGUUGUUUGAGAGGUAUUUAAAGAGUAUUUCAUGUACCCCUUGCUUUUUCCCCUCAUUUCAAAGGUUUCCUACAUAUUCAGUAUAUAUAAUUUUUGCAGCCAUGCCAUUCAUAUCUAUCUUGCUUAUGCGUUUCCUGGAGUUGCAGACUAUUGGUAAGUGCAGUUUCUUUCUCUUUCGGAGAGUAUUGACAGCGAUAGUAGCGUCUGUUGAUAUUGAAUUUCUUCCAUGCUUAUUUGUUGGAGUUCCUUGCUCAGCUUCUUUAUACUAAUUUACAGUGCUACAUCUCUAUUUGCAUGGAUGGUUGAAUGACAUAUCAUCAUACUAGGAUUAAUAGUUGCCACCAAAGUAGUUGGUUUACAUAUCAGCAUUUAGAGAUCAAACUUAAAUUUAAAAGGGAAAAAAAAGUUUUAAAUAGGAGUAGCAAUAACAAUGGUAAAUUUCAUUUGCUAAAUGAAUUCCACAGCACUUCCAAGAUCUACAUUACCUCCUGAAAGUAUAAUUCCUAUUUGGUUGCAUUCCUUCCAGGCAGGGUUGUUCCUGAAGCUAUCAGAUAAGGCACCUGCAAGCCCUAUGGCUCCACUUGGUUCAACUGCAACUCUAAGGAUUUCAUAGCAGAGUCUCAUUGCUUUGAUUGUUUCUGUAUCGUCCACUGUUAUUACGUUCUAUGGGCCUAAUCAAUCAUAAGGCAUAGAAUGAGACUUACUGAAAGCUAAGACACAGUGCUGUUUGCUGAUAGCUAGUGCACUAACUGAUAAAAGAGAACAUCUACAUACGGUGAAUAUAUCCUUCACACAUCAAUAAGACACCAUGGGAAUGAAUUUACCAGGUGAAUUCACCAAGGAAAGCUCUCAGGCCAUCAGCAACUGUAUUUGUUUCAGGUAAGGUUACAUUCUAACGCCACUUUUGAUUGAGCUGCAUCAUUUGCUCCCUUUGGUUCAGCAGCCAAAACUCAAAUGGCAGGAUUGAAAGACUUGGCAGCCAAUGCCACCCCUGAUUUCAAGCCACCUCCUGCAGAUUUUCAGAAACCAUUUGUACUUGAGAAGAAAAAACUCACAAAAAAAACGACAAAAAGGUGAUCGAUCAUGCAAGAAUAAUAACCAUAAAAUUGACAGAAAAAAACUCUGCGACGUAAACCACUGAUGGGAACUCUUUUAGUGUCCAUAUGAGGAGCUUGCUCUAAAAGCUCCAAGGAUACGGUACCCUGCCCACUGAAAAAGAUUUCCAUAUCAACUAAUUCCCCGUUAUAACAUUAAAUUACAGCAUUCACAGCUUAGAAGUGUUAAAUGUACUACCUUAUAAUGCGCCCAUCAGCAUGUGCAUGUAUUAGAGCUGCCCCAGUUUCUUGCAACACAUUGGUUGCAGUUUCCUCCUUUGACUGCAUCGUUGGCUCACUCCAUAUAACCUGACCACCGUACCACACUCUGAACUUUGCACUGUGGAGCAGUCUUCGGUAUAACUACAUAUGCAGCGAUCCGGCGUAACUUUGCAGCCAAUGCCAAUUCUGCAGCAUGGUUACCACUAAUUUUGGAGGAUGUGAUCAGGUCUAACCCAAUUAAAUAGCCAGGGAAGGAAACAUAAUGAAGGGUAUACAUGGAUCAUAGAUGGGUUUUAAGUAAACCUGCUAUGAGUUACAACUCCCUUACCAGCCUGCUGAUCAUCAAGUGAAAAUAUAGCAUUGCGAGCACCUCUGAAUAUGGAUACUCCCCUGUUAAGCAACUCAUAGAAGAGUGUUAAUUUGGAGAAUAAGAUGAAAACAAGUAAGAGAUGAUUCCCUUUACCCCUUUUGAAAACAUUUACACUUGAAGAACAGCCUCCUUCCAGAAAUAGCAUGCAGAGACUCUUAGUUCAGAAGUGGAGUUUUGUGUAUGAAAGAACCGAGCGCGCCCGUGCUUCUUGCAUAGAGAGAUCAGCAGCAUACUUCUCCUUGUUUACUUCCAUCUUUAAGCCACUGAAUCCAACACUUCAAUUCCAAAUUUGGGAGAAACAGGAACAAACCAAACAAUUUCAGAAGCUAUUGUAACAACCUAAUUUCCAGUAGUGUCAGAACAGUGAUUUGAGAUCACUAAAUCCGAUAAAAAAGUUAGAAAAUUUAUUAAUUAAUAAUUAUAAGUUAAGCGUGAUUUUAGAAAUAUUUCUAAACUUAGUUAAUUUUGUGAUUUAAAAUAAAUUAUUAGGUAAAUUGGGUCAAAAAUGAGGUGUUGAGAUCUCGAUAUUAUAAACUAAGUCGUAAAUAUUUUUAUAAAUAUUUAUGGAGUGUCAUUAGGGUAGUAUUAAAGUUUCGUUAAAAAAUUUUAAUGUUUCGAUGGUUAAUUGAUUAAAAAGAAUCUAAUUAAAAAAAUAGAUUUCUGGGACUUUAUUUCGAUAAAUCAAACUUGUAAAUAUUUAUUAUAAAUAUUUAAGAAGUUAGUUGUUUAUUUAAUUAGGUGAAUUUGACUUAAUUAGGAUUUAUUGUAAAAAAAUGACUAAAUUGAAGUAGGGAAAAGUUGAAUAAUAGAUUAAAAAAAGUUAAAAGGGCCAAAUAGGUAAUUAUGCCUUUUUCUAAAGUUGAGUCGGCAUAUACAUGAUAAAAAUUUUAGAUUUUUUUUAAGUAUAUUAUUAUUUUAUUGUAUUGUAAAUUAUAUUAUAUUAUUAUAUUUCAAAUAAACAAAAUUUUUGACAAAUGCAUGGUGUAUAUGAUGACAUGUGGAAAAAUAAAAUACAUAUAUAUUAGUAAUGAUUACAUAUUUACUUAUUAUUUAAGUAAGUAAUAUUAUAUUAUUAUUUUAUUGUUAUUAUAUUAAUCUAAUUAAAUAAAAGAAAUAAAAGAUAGAAAAAGGGAAUAGAAACAGAAUAGGCAAACGAAACAGAGAAGGAAAGAAGGAACGGAGAAGGUGAACAAAGAGUGACUCGAGAAAAUUUACGGUUAGUAUUACUAUAAUUCGAAUUUAAUUAUUAAUUAUUAAAAAUUUAAAUUAAUAUACAUGAUAAGCAAAUUAAAGUAAGUAUCAUGAUUGAAUUGAAUGAUAAAUACGUAUUGAUAUUGAAUUUAUUAAUAGCAAUUAUUGAAUUUUGAAUAAUAUGUUUAGUAAAUAAAAAUAAGGUGAAUAUCGAUAUUGAAUUAAUGUAGUAUUGAAAUGCAUAUUGGAUAAAAAAUUUUGAUUUGAAUUGUGAUCAUGAGAAAUUGUGAAUUGAAUGAAAUUAAAAUGAAGUAUAAAUAUGUAUGAGCAUUUGACGGUAUACUGAUUGGAAGGUGAAAAAUGUAUUGAAUUAAAUUGUGAUUAAAUUGGAAUUGAAAAUAUGAGAAAAUGAUUGAAUUGAAAUGUGAUUCGAAUACCCUAUUAACUUAUCGGACUAGAUUGGAUACAAAUGGCAUGCCAUAGGAUUUGUGAUGUGAUGAGGAGAUUUGUAGCUCGGCCGAGAAGAUGAUUAUGUUAUUACAUGCUUCGGUUUAUCCGAAGAGGCAUUUAAUGUCUUAUUGGUGUGUUUGGGAGGAUAUGAUAUAUUGGUGUGUUAUGGAGGAAUUAUAUUUAUUUCGGGUGUGUUUUGGUUGGAUAUUCUGGUGUGUUUGGGUGGAAUCCGCGUAUCUGUCAGAGUCCGAGUCAAGUUAAUAGGGGUAAAUGAAUAAUUUUGAUAAUAUAAAUUUUAUUGAAUGAUCUUGAAUAUGAAUCGAAAUGAGAAGUGAAAAUAAAAUGAUUUGAAAUUGUGAAAUAAUAUGCGAAUUUAAUUGAAUACAAGUUAUUGAAAUUUAUUUAUGGAUUUAAUGAAUAAAUUGAGUGUUAAAAGAUUAUAAGUGUAAAUUGAUUAUAAAUGAACGGAUUGAAUUAAAAGAUAAUUAUUAUUAUUAUUAUUAUUAUUAUUAUUAUUAUUAUUAUUAUUAUUGUUGUUGUUGUUGUUGUUGUUGUUGUUGUUGUUGUUGAAACAAGUUGAUUUAAUGUAUUAAAUGUUUAUUGAAAGAUUAACGGCAUAAAUUGAAUUAAGAAAUAGUGUAUGAGUUAAUUUGAAUAAAAUUUUAUAAAAUUAGUUAUUAUAAUUGUUGUUGAAAAAUCCAAUAAAAAUUUAGAUAGUGAAAUAAGGUAUGAAUAAUAUUGCUUAUUGUUAUUAAUUAUCAAGUUGAUUUAAAGUACGAGAUAAUUAAUGAAUAAUUGUAGACAUAAAUUUAAAUGUCUAUAAUUUAUCGAUUAAUGUUAUUAAUUUGAAUUAUGGUAAUACCACUGAGUAUUCAUAUACUCAGCGUACGGUUGUCUCCGUGCGCAGGUUAGUAGAAAGCCAGUGUCCGGUCCAGCAUCCAGAGCAAUCCCGACCUCAGAUAAAUUUUAGUGAUGUGCCUUUCUUUUGAUAUUGUGGCAUGUAUUUAGGUAAUGUAUUAAUUAAACUAUACUAUGUAUGUUAUUUAUUUGUGAACUAGUGAUAAGUUAUCCGAUAUAUCCGGUAAUGCUCCAUAACCUAAUUCUGGCAACAGAUAAGGGUUGGGGGUGUUACAGCUAUAAUCUGGCUAAAGCAACAUCCAAUUAAGAAAUAUAACUGUAAACUACCCAAACUAAAAGGAUGCAAAAUUAUUGAUGCAAACACUUGGAAUUUGGCUACUGUAAACUGGGUCUAAUGGAUAAUGAAAGAAAAGGUGGAGAAUGAAGCCAUAAACUUUAAGAAGGAAGAUAAAGAUUAAAACUUCAACGACUUAUAAAAUAUGACUUUGACAGAGUAAGCAAAUGCCGAAAGCCUGAGACAGAAAUGUUAAUGAGAUUAGGGGUGAGUUUGGAUGGGUGGUGUGUUUAUCUCUGGUGAGGUUAAAAAUAGCGAUGGCGGUGAGAUUAAUUACUGUAGCGGUGAGAUUGGAUAAUGUAGCGGUGAGAUUAGAAACAAUGGUGGAGUGUGUGCUUGGAUUCAAACGCAGCUGUAGCGGUGAGGUGAGAAUAAAAAAUAACUAUUAAUGACAUCAGAUUAGAAUUGAUAUAUAAUAGAAUUUUUUAAAAUUAUUUUAUUUUUUAAAAAUUAUUAAAAUAUGUAAAUUUAUAAAUUCAUUUAAUAAAUAUUAAAAUGUAUCUUUCAAUAUUUUAAUGAAUUAUAUAAUCAAUUUAAAUUAUUUAUUAGAUAAAAUGAUAAUUAUUUUUAAUUUUUAUAGUUAAAUAUUUUUUUAUAACAAUGAUAAAUAUUAUUUAGCUUUCAAGGAUAAAAUGGUAAAAUAAUAAAUAAAAGUAAUGGUACUUUUUGUUUGUUAAAAAUACAAUAGCACCCUUAAUUUUCAAUUGCUGCUGAAACCUCCAGCAGAAAAUCAACUAUCCAGCGUGGUGAGAUUACUUUUCAGUGGACUGCUCUGCUGAACCAAGUGAGAUUCACACCCUCAACUGCACCUUAAUUACGUGCUGAAGCAAACUAAAAGAAGCCUAGAUCUGCUUAGAGAUAAUGUAAUUCGGUAGAGAUCAUACGACGACGCUUUGGACUAAGCUUGUUAGUAAAGGACAAAAGCCUACACCAUGUUUUUGUCCUCAUGAAGGAAAUGUACUAAAAUGGCUAAAGCCCAAAUUCCAACUCUUAUCCAUAGCCAAUCCCAAUAAGGCAGCAGCUGAGAGGGGAGGGAGGAGGGUAAAGAAACAAAGGCACAGAAACCCAAAAUAGAUAGAAAAAAAAAGGGGGGGGGUGGAAUGAAGCUCAAAGUAUAUGCAGAUCGAAUGUCUCAGCCAUCUCGUGCUGUCAUCAUCUUCUGCAAGUAAAUUUAAUUUCUUUUACUGAUUUUCAACUAUCUGAUUCUGGGUGUUUUUCUCUUUCUUCAAAAUUGUUCUUUUUUUCUUUUUUGUAUAUUUAGGGUAAAUGGUAUAGACUAUGAGGAGAUCAAAGUACAUAUCUCGAAGGGUCAGCAUUUAACUCCUGAAUUCGCGGGUAUUGUUCCAUUCUUAAUUAAUUCACCAUUCGAGUUAUAAUUAAUUAUUAGUGUCAUGAAAUUAUUCCAAUGAUUUUGCUGCAGAAAUAAAUCCCAUGAAACAGCUGCCUGCCAUUGCUGAUGGAAGAUUUAAGUUGUUUGAGAGGUAUUUGAAGAGUAUUUAGUUUACCCCUUGCUAUAUCCCCCUCAUUUCAAAGGUUUCCUACAUAUUCAGAAUAUAUAAAUUUUUGCAGCCAUGCCAUUCUUAUCUAUCUUGCUUGCGCAUUUCCUGGAGUUGCAGACCAAUGGUAAGUGCAGUUGCUUUCUCUUUCAGCUUACAUUCUAUGGAUAGGGAUAGUGUCUGUUGAUACAAUUUCUUCCAUGCUUACUUUUUGGAGUUCCUUGCUAAGCUUCUUUAUACUAUUACUUACAUACAGUGCUACAUCACUAUUUUCACAUGGAUAGUUGAAUAACAUAAGUGGUAUAUCAAUGGCACAGUGUUAUACAGUGUUAAUGCUAGAAGGAUCUUAUGACAUCUGACUUACUUGCUGAUGUCUAUGUGCUCUGGAUUAUUGUUUUACUUGAACUUAUGUGGUUUCUAAAUCUAACCACAUGAUUUUCAAAUGUAUUUUUGGCACAUUCCACGUUCAGUUUGAUCUGCAACUCAAUUCUUAACAAAUUUGCUCAUCCGUGUUUUAAGGUAUCCAGCUGAUGUUUUCAAGAGAAGUAAGAUACACUCGGUGUUGGAUUGGCAUCACUCCAACUUACGUCGUGGUGCAGGUGUAUAAUUAACACCGAAAGAAUCAAACUAUUUAAAUGAUUGAUGAAUGGUGAUUGAUAGUGUAGGACAAUAUUGCUUUUAUCACAAUUCUUGCUUUAUGACAUGUUGUUACCCCUUCUGGAUCAAUCCCAUUACUAUAACAACAUUUUCUCUGGAUUGGCAUUUCAAGCAUCAGAUUUGUGCACUUCUUUUCCCUUAAUUACAAUAUUAGACUAUCAGGAUGCUAAAUUCCUUCCAUUCUUUAGUUUUGGCAUCUUCACAUCAAUAAAUGAUUGUGCUUGACUGUGUGUGCAACUCAAAUUCACUUUUCGUCGUCUAUGUGGUUGCAUCAACUCCUAUGACAUAUGCUUGGCUAUGUUGUUAUGCAUAUAAAUGUUCCCUUCCUUGGGUAAGAUAGGUGUUUGAACUCGAUGAUUCUCUUUUCAGCCCCAUAUGUUUUCAAUACUACAAUUGCACCUAUACUUGGCCGUCCAUUGAAUCCACAAGCAGCUGCUGAAGCUGAGAUAAUUCUGUCCUCAUCUCUUUCGAAGCUAGAGUCCUUUUGGCUCAAGGGUAAUGGACGUUUUUUGCUAGGCGGGAACCAACCAUCCAUAGCAGAUCUUAGCCUUGUUUGCGAGUUAACGCAACUUGAGGUACCUUUUUGUGACUUGAUUUUUUGUCCAAAUUUCAAUAUUUUGUUGGUGCCUUCUCUGGUGGAACAUAAUAUAUUGUGAUAUAGGUUCAGGAUUGUCCUCCUUAGAUUACCUUUUUCCUUAAAGACACUCAUGUGCUACCACUCAUCACCAUAAUCAUCUCAACAACAACCUUAGCCUUUUUUCCACUACAUAGAUUGUUUCUUGGAUCUCCCCGUUGUGUACUUUUUAGGACCAUUUCCUUUAUAAGCAUCAUAAAAUGGGGUUGCACUAGUGCAAGUUUUAGUUUUAUAGACUUGUCUGCCUACAUUUCAGCAGAAAAGAUUGUCAUGUUUCAUCUGUUUUAAAACAGAGCUCAAGACUAGUCCUGAGAUUUGCCUUUCUGCUCAAACCCAACAUAUAUUUUAUUACUUGCAGUGCAUCCCGUGACCUACACCACUCCGGUAUAUGUUAUUCAGUGACAAAAGUUUUUGUUUCUAUAAAUUAUAACUUCAAGAUUGAUUGCUAAUCUCAGAAUCUUUUGAAAGACAUUGAAAUUUGAUAAAAGUUUAUUGGACGUAGGUUUUGGAUGAGAAGGAUCGCACUAGGUUAUUGGGUCCGCACAAGAAAGUGCAGCAAUGGAUUGAGAACACAAGAAAUGCCACAAAUCCUCACUUUGAUGAAGUACAUAGAGUGAUCAUGCUGGCCAAAGAAAGACAACAACAUCAGCGGUUAAAGGCAGCAAAAAAUGAAGGCGGAUCCAACAUGAAAAAGCCGUUGGUUUCUAGAAUGUGAGGGAAAACCGUAUUACCAAGUACUUAUUUCCAGAUGAUAAGCAAUUAUUAGCUUGUAUAAACACGAUACAUGUUUUACCUAUGGUUUAUACUGCAAGUCCUAUGGUUAGAUUUAUACUGUUGUCCUAACUCUAGUAUCUAUUGUUGCAAAUUUUCAUUCUCAAAAGCUGUGUUGCUUGAUCAGUAUCACUAAUGGAUAUUAUUUGUUGCCCUUGCUCUAAGGGUUUUGCACUUUUGCAUCGUAUUUUGGUCCCCCUACCCUACCACUAGCAGAUCUCUAUAGGGUACACCAAGCAGCCAAAAUGCCUGCUGAAAAAACUGUACCUUAAUCAUUAAAAAGGCUACAAAAAUCCCAUAUGGUCGCUUGUCAUAAAGAAGUUUUUACUUUAAACCAAAAAUAGAAAUAACCAAAUUCUAGCUAUUUGACUUACACAGAUAUAUGAACUAGCUGGCUCCUGAAGCUCAACUGUAUCAACAUUCAGAGCUGUCAUGUUCAUGUCAUUUACCUUAUUACAAGCGAAUGUUUUACAGUUAUUUGAUAAAGUGCUCUAUAGUGAAAAACCAUUAACUAUUCUGGUCUAUGGGGACUCAAAUGCCCAGCCUGAAAAGUUUCAAAGACGCAUUUUCCUUAACAAUGUGAAUGGAAUCGAAUGAAUUCUAGGACUGGGUUUUAUGUUAUCUUUUCGACCAUUUAUCUAGUUCUACACGUAUUUGAGCAUAUAUCACUUUCCAUUUAUAUCAUAAAUGUCACAUUUAAGAAUCUAAACUGCUUAACAAGAUCGAAUAGUGUUUUCAUCCACACAUAGCUUCCUUGUAUCGAAAACCCCUUCUGGAGAACCACAGAAAGUUGCUAAAUUGGCUGCCUCCAUUACGUAUUCUCUGCUGCAAGAGAUCCUGAUCCUUACUCACUUCUCCGCAUUCAACGACUCGACAGAUGGCCCUGAUUUAUCAUACGUGUUAAGAGAAGAAAAGUCCUCGUGUAGACACCAUCUUCACAAUCCUACUAACCCCCACCCCCUGGCCAAGAUUUUUCACAAGGCGCCAAAAGAUUCCUGUUUUACUUGAAAUAUGCUCGUUCGACGAAAUCUAAGUGCACUUGCUGUGUCUGCUUCUCUACUUUUAGGAAAGCGUUCCUCACCGAGUUUCAACCAAACCCUUUUGAGUUUUCCACAGAUUUCACCAGUUUAUCUGGUAUCUCACUCGAUCAAAACAGGGUCUCCAAGGUCUCUCGUGGGUAGUUUGAGAUUUGAUCAUACUAUGGCUGCUCAGUCCUCCAAGGGGUCAGUUCAUGACUUCACUGUUAAGGUUGGUUUUGGGUAUAAAUUUUACCCCCACAGACGAAGUUUAUUUGAUUCAAAUUUAGUUUUGUCUUUGAUUCAAUUUUCAAUCAGCCCUCCCCCCCCCCCCCAAGAUAUGGGUUUGGUUCUUCAGGAUGCAAAAGGAAAUGACGUCGAUUUAAGCAUUUACAAGGGCAAGGUCCUCUUGAUUGUCAAUGUUGCAUCUCAAUGGUACCUCUAAUUUCAAUUUUGUGUAACAAGGAUAUAGUGGAUUGAUUGCACAUUUAGAUGAUGCUUUUCUUUGGCCUACUUGUUGGAUUUUUAGCUUUAAUUUCUGGACAGUUUUGAAUUUGGUGCUUAAAAUGUUGAUGCAGUGGCUUGACCAACUCCAACUACACUGAGCUGAGUAAAUUGUAUGAGAAAUAUAAAGAUCAAGGUUUGUUUUAGCAUCCUUGUAGCUUCUUGUUUCUGAGGACCAUUCAUGAGCCUUUGAUUAUUUGAUUUGCUGGUUUGUCGGGUCAGGUUUCGAGAUUCUGGCAUUUCCAUGUAACCAGUUUGGGGGUCAGGAGCCAGGGAACAAUGAAGAAAUCUUGGAGUUUGCUUGCACUCGCUUUAAAGCUGAAUACCCCAUAUUUGAUAAGGUAUAUAUCCUUUUGACUUUAUAUGAAUGAUGUUGCUAAUUUUACUUUAUAUAGUUAAUGUUUCUUAGCUUAAUAACUAGUCUUUUUGGGUCUGCAAAACUCCUUAUUCCGGUUGCCUAUGUGAUAAUAUGGUGUGCAAGCCUUUGUAAAGGCUUCAGUGACAUUAAGAUAACGAGCUCUUCUCCUCAUGUCCACAUGGUUUUAGGCAUGUUGGAGUUGACUUCAUUUCAAUGGAUUGCAGGUGGAUGUGAAUGGCGAGAACGCAGCUCCGAUAUACAAAUUCCUGAAGGCUAGCAAAGGUGGAGCUCUGGGUGGACUUCUGGGGGACGACAUCAAGUGGAAUUUUGCCAAGUUCCUGGUGGAUAAAGAGGGACAUGUUGUGGAUCGUUAUGCCCCCACUACUUCCCCUAUUAGCAUCGAGGUAAACCACCUCCAUUUUUGCCUUUUCUUUUGCUUCAUUUAUACCCAUCACACCAUUCAAUGAUCAAAGCUCCUAAUUGAUUUCAGUUGAUAUUUGCAGAAGGAUAUAAAGAAACUGCUUGGCUGAUGUUUUGGGCUUCGUCACCUCAGGCUUUGAGUGAAUAAAGUUAAAUGUUUUUACCAAUAAAAUCUAUUACGAUGGUGUUUCUCUCUUCUUCUUUUUUCCUUCCAUCUGUUAAGAUGGGUUAGACUGUACCAGAAUUUACAAGUUGAACCCUAUAACUUAAUAUAUAUAUACAUAUUAUAUAAUAUUUACAAAUUUUAGAAUUUAUCAAUAAUAGAAAUAAUUUUAGAACUUAGCGACAAAUUACAAGAAUUUCAUGCUCAAAGCUCAUGUCCUUGAGAAUUGUAAUUCUUUCAUCAUUGUCGAAAUUAUUUUUAUUUUUAAAAAAAAAAUAAAAAUUAGUUGUCAAUGAAAAUUUGGAGUCGCCACCAAUCUUUUAUUAAAGUGUGAUUGGAUCACUUAAAAUAAUUUUGGUCUACGAGUUUUUAGAAAAACGGGUUCGGGAGUCAGUUACGUUCGAGGAAGGAUUAGCACCCUCGUAACGCCUAAAAAUUGGUACCAAAUUGACUAAUUAAUGUCUUAAUGUUGAGAGUUAAAAGUACGAUCUUUAAUUAAAUUAAAUUAAAUUAUUUAUUAAGACUCUCUCAUUUUGAAAUAGAAAAUAUCACACCCAAUGCGUUAGGGCACGAUAUUUUAUUUUUUCAAGAUGAGUUUAUGAGUUUGUCCAAAACAUUUGCGUGAUAAAAUUUAAAAAGAAUAUUCAAUUGUUUAAAAUUUAUGAAGAAAUUACAGUCCAAUACAUUAGGGCACAAUCUCUUAAAAUCUCAAACAUUGAAUAUUUCCUUUCUUAAUUUUUUUAAAAAAAUAUUUAUCUCGAUAAAUCAACACGUCACAUCCAAUGUAUUAGGACACAACAUAUUGAAUUCCCGACGACAAGCCUUUCAUUUUAUUUUUGAUUAAAGAGUAAUUCUCGAUUAUUAGAUUUAUCGAAGAAAAUUGGAACCCAAUACGUUAUGGCUCAAUUUUCAUGAAAAAUCCUAAAUACGAGUAUUAUCUCUAUUUUGAAAAUUUUUUGUUUUUAAAUUCGAGUAAAAAGAUGAUGUAAUGUUAUAUUAAAUGGAAAAUACAAUAAUAAAUACAACUAUGGCGUAGAAAUAAGAUAAAACAAUUAAAUAAACGAAAUUAAUGUACAUAAUAAAAAAUAAUGACAUGCGAAAUAUCAAAUAAAUGAACAAAAUAAAAACAUUCUUUAGAAUAUAAAUGAAAACACAAAUGAAUAAACGAGUGAGGGAAAUAAAAAGCUUAUAAAAAAAAGUAAACAAUAAAGAAUAUAAAUGUUGAAAUUAUGGAAAAAAACAUGGAUUUACAUAUAAAAUUUGGAUUAUAGAAUUUAUAUAACAAAUUAUAUAUAAUGCAUUUAUAAAAAGAAAUAUAUAAACAUAUAUAUUAUAAAAUAUGUGUAAAAAAGAAUAUAUAUUUAAAAAAACGGGGAUCGACUUUUAAAAUGAAAACAGAAAUGGGAGUCGUCACCGAUCUCUUAUUGUGGUGUAAUCGGAUCACCUUGAAAAUAAUUUUAGGUCUACGAAUUUUGAAAAAAAUAAGGUUCGGGAGUCGGUUACGCACGAGGAAGGGUUAGCACCCUCGUAACGCCCAAAAUUGGUACCGAAUCGAUUGUUUAAUAUCUUAAUGUCAAAACCUUGAAAGGAUUUUAAAAUAAGAUCCUUUGAAGAGAAAAUUUGAGUAAUCGGAUUGGGAAAUAAGACUAACCUACUUUAAAGAAAUAAAUCGUUAUAUUCAGUAAGUUAGAGUGCAACGAUUCAAUCUUCGAAGUUAGAUUCGUCCCUUUUUAAAAUUUAAAACAAAUUCAUACAUUUGGAGAAGGAUAUUUGGUUAUUUAAAUCGAUCGAGAAAAUCAAAACCCAGUAAGUUAGGGUUCAAUUUUCUUCAAAUCCUUAAACACCAAAUAUUUCUUUUAUUAAAAAACGAGAUAACAAAAUGUCACAUCCAAUAAGUUAGGAUCAAACAUUUUGAAAUCUAAAGAAUAUUAUUAUUAUUAUUAUUAUUUAAAUGUCUUAAAGAAAGGGAUACUUAAUGAUAUAAAUCCGUCGAGAAGAAUUGAGGCCUAGUAAGUUAGGACACAAUUCUCUCGAGAAUUAUUUAACACCAAGCCUCUUUUUUGAACUUUUGAAAUGAAACGAUUAUAAUAUUUUAACGAAAUGAAUUUUUUACAACCAAUAUAAUUGAAUAACAACAUGUAAUGCAAAAUAUAAAUAACAAUUUAAACUUAAACUAGAAACAAUUAAACAAAUAAUAGGCAAAUACUAACAUCGACCUUAAUUAUAUUAUACAAACAUCCUUAUUAAUAAUUUGACAACCGACCAAAACGAAUAAAAUAAAUAAGGUUUAAGAAAUAAAACAAUUAUGUAUAAAAAAAUUAUGUGAAUAAAAGGUUAAUUUGAAGUUAACGAUAUACCCUAUGUACAUAUAUACUAAAAUAGUCUAAUUUAAAUUAUAUGUAUUUUUAAAUAAUAUUGAUACAUUUAAAACAUAUUGAUAACAAUUAAAAAAUAUAUUAUUAUAAUUAUUAUAUAUAUUUUUUUAAAAAAUAGAAUUUGUGCUAAUAAUAAAUUUGAAAACAAUAUCUAUUAAAAUAAUGUUAUAAAUUGAUUUAUUUAAAAAACUUUUUAAAUCAAAAUUAACAUAAAAGGCAUUUUUUGACAUUGAAAAUAAUAAUCAACAAUUUUUUUUUUUAAAUCGAAGCUUAGAUAAAAUUAAAACAAUAAUGAAAUCUGUUUAUAAAAGUAGGAUUAAUUAUAAUUAAAGACAUUUUGAGUAAAAAAAAUCUAAAUUUGUAUCAAAUCGAAAUCCGUUUUAACCUUGGAGGACUAAACCAACAAUUAAACGCAAGCAUUAUAAACAAUAACAAUCAACCGCAGAACGGUACCGUAUCAAGUCGGAUGUGAAUGGAAACAAAAAUAAAUGUGCCGUACAAAUUACAAUUAAAUAAAAAAAACGUAAUCUCAGUAAACACACAGGGACCUAUUUAGCAAAUAAACCAUUCGACCCAUAUUGCGCGGAUCCUUCCCGUAUCGGGUCACCGUUCGGGUCGAAUCUCCAAAACAAUGUCGUUUCAGUGCCAUUGCAUUGACUCUGAACGGCGUCGUUUUAAUUCCUGCACUUAAAAACUACAUAAAUCCUAAAACAUAGGGUUUACAUUAGCAGAACCUAAACAAAAAGAAAGGCUCGUCGCCGCUCUGGGGAUUCAUUGCCUCCGAAGACUCCUAAUCUUCGCCCCAACUCCGAUGGCUGCGGAGUGAGCAAAAAUAUGGCCCUCAGGUAUGCCCCUCUUCCCUUUUCUCCUUUAGCAGAUGACUAAUGUAUGUAAAAACAAAAGGAAAGAAGGAAAACGAUCUGCGAAAAUCACCUUUUGGAACUUUUUUUUGAUUUCUGUAUUCCGAAAAUGCGUGUAAAUCGUUUACAGUGUUCGAAUGGCUUCUUUAUAGCCCCAUUUACAGAAAAUAAAAUAAAAAAUAAAAUAAAAAAAUGCUGUUCUUUUUCUAUUUGUUGUUGCUUCCGUGUGUUCGCUUGUAUUUGCAGGUACUCGGCCAGCCUAGAGGUAUGGAGGUGGUCGUACGGAGGCAUGCGUGGCAUACGAAGGCAUCACGCGCGUGAGGAGUGGCUCGAAGGGGAGCCCGUACGUGGCAACGGCGGCUGAAGGGUUCCAGAAACCCUAGUGAUUUCUGGAAUACUUUUUCAAAAUAGGCUAAUUGGGCUGAAUAGGGUUUUGGGUUAGGUGUUGGGCCACUGUAACUGGGCCAAUCAGAUUUAGUGUUCGGUCAUGGGCAUUUGGGCUAGUUGGGUUUGGGUAGUGGAUUUGGGCUAAUUAGGUUUGGGUAAUGGAUUUGGGCCAUUAGGCCUGCUGUAAAAAAAUGGACUGUAUUAUUAUUUUUUGGACUUUAAUUUUUAAUUUUUAAUUUUGGGUUACUUAUUACGGGCCUGGGCAAAAAUGGCCUAUUACAAGAAAUAUAUAAACAUAUAUAUUAUAAAAUAUGUGUAAAAAAGAAUAUAUAUUUGUGCAUAAAUAUAUACGUGUAUAUAUAUAAAUAAAAAAUAUUUGUUAGAAAUAUAUAUAUAUACGCAUGUGCACAUAUAUAAAUAAUAAAUAUAUACAUAUAUAGAUUUUUGAAAAAAAAAUACAUAUAUAUAAAAAAACAAUUACAUCAUUAAUUAAUUAAAAAAUAAAGAAAAUAAAAAAGGACUAAAUUGAACUAUAGACAAAAAUCUGGGGCAAAUUUGCAAAUAAUUAAAAAUUAGGGGGCCCUAUUAAACACGCUAAUAAUUCAGAGGGGCUGGAAAGGAAAUUAUCCCUUCUCAUUCAAAACGUCAUCGUUCAAAUAGGAUUAAAUUAAAAUCGAAGAAAAAUUAAAGGGAUAAUUUUUAAAAAAUAAAAGAAACCUAAUUGUAAAAACUUUAAAAGGCGGAGGGACUAAAAGUGCAAUUUUCCCCUCUGCUCAAAAACACGGGGAUCUUAGGCCGGGUUGGGUCGGUUCUGGGUCGACCCAUGCCCAAAACGGCGUCGUUUUAGCUGGCUAUUUAAGCCAAAAACCUUUCAAAAAAAUCAUUUCUUUAAAAAAAAAAAAAAAAAGCUCUCAACCCUUCAGUUUUCCGGCGUCCAGUCUGGCCAUCAGUCGGUCAUCGGCCACCGUGUCAGCCGCCGAUCUCCGGCGCCAGUACCGCCGUCUACGGUGGCCAAAAAAAUGGGAAAAUUACCCUUUCGUCUCUCUCGACCCUUCCAAGCCCAAAUCUGGAUUCAAAAUUUUCAAGAAACCACAAGAACACCCUCAAAAACCCUAGAAACCUUUCGGCUUCUAACCGUCUAUCCUCGGAGAUGAACCUCGGCCGUCCCAACGGCUUUUCAUAGGUAAACAAAAGUAAGUUCUUUAUUUUUUUUGUUUUAUUGUAUUUUAGUAAAGUAAUAUAUAUAUAUAUAUAUAUAUAUAUAUAGAGAGAGAGAGAGAGAGAGAGAGAGAGAGAGAGAGAAUAGAACGAUGCUAAAAUAUCAACCUUUCGAUUUCUUGGUUGAUCUUUGUACUCUUGAUAUUCUGUUUGCUUGUGAAAAUAAUAGGCUUUUUUUGUAUUGAUUUUCGUAUCCUUUUUACAGUAUAUCUAAUCUGCUUUUAUAAUAGUAAUGAAACAAAAAAUGAAAAGAAGAUCCACUCGUAUCUGGUUGAUCCACGAUCUUCUUGAUUUUCUUGCCAUAUUCGUUGCUUGUAUUACCUUGUUUCUUUUCUUGCUGUGCAGGUGAAGGUGUGCGCGUGGAGAUUCGGCUUGUGUGGAAGAUUUGGUUGCGGCGGCUGAAGCUUACCUAAGAAACCCUAGGGUUUUUGCCACUGCUUUGGGCCACUAGAUUUGGGCCUCUAUUUUUGUAUUUUGGGCCUUGUAGUCUGGGCCAACUUGUUUUGUUCUGGACUUGUACAAAAAACACUGGACUUAUUAUUAUUAUUUUUGCUUAUUAAGGGCCAGGUAAAAUUUAGUUAUUACAAUAGUAUAGAUACCCAUGCAAAUCUUUGCGUUCCAUGCAUCACUGACUGUACAUGAAAGCUUGGCCAAUUAGCCUCGCAAUUUUAAUAAAAUCUUUUGGAAUAGAAUAUGGCAGUUAAAUUAGGAAACUUAGAAAUAUCAUAAGAUCUUUAAAAAAAUAACAAAAUUAUUCCAAUAUUUUAUAAAACAAAAUAAAUUACCCCAAUUUUUAAAGUAUAUUUUUACAUAAAUAUAUUUUUAACCAUAUUUUUAGUGUGGAAAAUUUUUAAUCAAUUUGUUGAAUUGGGAAUUUUUUAAAAUUUAUACAUCUUUUCAAAUUUUAAUUCUAUUUAGAAUCGGGUUAAUUGAUAUGUAUUGCGCACCCAAGCCCCCACCACCGGCCCACUCAAUAAACCAAUUCAAUAUUAAAAAUCCAUAACCCACUGAUACUAACCCAGUAUCCUUAACCCAACCCGAAAAUCCCUAAUCUAAAAUAAAAAAUAACACAAAAAUCCCCAAUCCACUAACCCUAAUCAGUAAUCUAAUGUUCGUAUCUCCCCAAAUAUCUUGCUUCCUCCGAAAUCUCCCUACCACCGAGUGCCGACAGCCACCAGUCACCACCGACCACCGUAACCCAACGCAGUGACGCAACUUCACUGUCUGGUCACUUCACUCACCACCGUCCAAUAUUUCAAGGCUCAAGCAGCUUGCACUCUUCUGGGUUCUCCGUUGUCGUCGCUCAUCAUCGCUGGAACCCCUUUUACCUUCAGGUUCUUUCUGGGUUCUCGGAUUUUCAAGGUGUAAUUAGUUGCCUUGUUUAUUGAUAAAUGGACAUUGUUGGGGAUUAGUUUAGGAUUGGGUUUAUGCCAAAAUUCUUUUAAUUUUAUCGAAAACCUUUCACAAAAUUUUUAGUUUUGCCCCUAAUCACGGGGAAGUACUUAGUAGUGACAUAGCUUUUUUGUGUUCAUUGUAGCAGCUUUAAAGAAUUUUACUUAUAAAAAGGACAUGACAGAACAAAUUUAAGACAGCAGCCCUAUACCUUUGCCUCCCCAAAUCAGUUCCUAUUUUCACCAAAAAUCCCUAGGUGUUGUGUGCCGCUCACCAGCAGGUGAAGCUGCUGCUUACUCUGUCGCCGGAGUUCACUACGGUGCUGCUUGUCAAUCUCAUCCAAUUCCAGGUAUCUCCAUGGCUUCAAGAGAAACUAUAUUUUCUUUCAAUCCCUUCUAUAUUCAAUCCUACUUGUCCUCGAAGUUGCCGUUAAAUCAAAUUUUCUUUUUGGAUUUUUGCAUCUUUAAUUUCUUGAUUAAUUGGUGAGAUCUUUUCAUUCUUCAAUCACUUAAUGCAUCGUUUUGUUUCUUUGAUGUUUAAUGUUAUAUUGAAUUCGUUGUUAAAGAUUGUUUCUUUGGACUAUUCUUUGAAUGAGAGAUACAUGGAUUUUAAGUUUUGAAUUCACUGUUAAAGUGUCUCAAAAGCUUGAAUUCCAAGUUAUUUUUUUUAACUUUACUGGAGUUAACAAAUUUUUUUAAAGCUUGAACUUUUCUUUUUGCCAUUGAUGUAGGGUGUUGGAAUUCACUGUUUAAAGGUUCCCAGUUAUUAAAGCAUGAAUUCACUGUUAAAGCGUCUCAAAAGCUAUGAACUCUUUUUUUGCCAUUGAUGUAGGGUGUUGGAGAUUCAUACUAAUUUACAUGUGAUUUAAGUUUUUAGAAAAAUGGGUAAUUGUUUAGGGUCAGAAUGGAUCCCUCAAAGCAAGAAACAAACCAAAAAAAAGCUUCUAAACCGAUGGCUAGGAAGGAAACCCAAGAAUUCCAAUUUGUUGUUUACAAUACCAUGACUCAGCAAAAAGAGGUUUUCAAUCCCAAAAUCCCUGGAAAAGUUCGCAUGUAUGUCUGCGGUGUCACUGCCUAUGAUUUCAGUCACCUUGGCCAUGCUCGUGCUGCCGUUUCCUUUGAUGUCCUUUACAGGUGCAUAAUUUGUCUUAGAGAAACCCCUUAUGCUUUUUUCCCCCUUUAUUUUUAAAAUUGGUUGCUGACUAUUGGAAUUAUACAGGUACCUUAAGCAUUUGGGUUAUGAGGUUACUUAUGUCAGGAAUUUUACUGAUGUUGAUGAUAAGGUUUGAAUUUCUAUCUGAGCAGCUCUUUGCUUUCGGUUUUUGGUGAUUUAUUUGAGAGCAAUGACGUAUUUUGUUUUUUUGUUUUUUUAUGUUGAAAUGAUACUUAUCAUUUGAAUCUGAUGCAUUCAACUGAUGUAUUUCUAAUAUUGGGGUGGGGAGUUGAAACUUCAACUUAAUAAUUGUUUUCUCCUUUUGAGCUUAUUGAAUAAUUAUGUCAACAAUUGACGUUACAAGAGCUUAAAGACUUCUAUUUGAUUUGUUUAUCUGUUUUGAACUCGUUUAUGAGCAUUUUUUCUGGAGAUGUUAUAGCCAGAAUGCGUUCUCUUGUUGCUUAUGGUUUACCACUUUUACUUUCUGACUAAUAGUCCAUCUCUCAUAUCUCAACAACAAUUAUGUCUUUCUCAUAUUAUGAGAGCUACUGAUUGGACUUUUUCAGAUAAUUCGUCGAGCCAAUGAGACUGGAGAGGAUCCAAUAAGUUUGAGUGACCGGUACUGUAAAGAAUAUAAUAUAGAUAUGAGUGAUCUACAGUGCCUUUCUCCAACACAUGAGCCACGUGUUUCUGAUCACAUGGAGCAGAUCAAAGAUAUGAUAACUCAGGUUUCCUUCCUGUUUAAUAUGCUGGUUUUAUUUUGUAGAAAUAUGAAUACCGUGAUUCCUCUCUCCCUUUAGCAAUCGUGCAUCUCUCUCUCCCUUGUGGAAAAUGUAGUGCACAUAUUUAUGGUCGAGUUCACUGUUGCAUCUCUAUUGCUACUUUAGGGGAAUUUUCCUAGUAUAAUUAGGUUUAUGCACAUUUAAAACUCAUGAUAGCACUAUGUUUUUAUGUAUGCAUGUAUAAUGUGCAGAUGUAUGUAUUUGCAUUAACAAAAGUAUGAUUCAUUUAAAUGGGUUAUAGUUGGUAGUUAUAUUUUCAGACCGUUACCUUAUCAUUGUGAUAAAAAGCUAUUAUUGGGCAUGUCAUUGUCAUGUAUUGUAUACUGGUAAUUUAUCUACAUCUGCCCAAUGAUAAUCAAUGAUGUAGCAAGGACCCAUGCUCUGGUCUUAGAAGGUGUUUAAGAUGUUUCCUUCUAAUAUUGAUCAUGAAGAAGUAGAAGAGCAGUUUUUAACUUGCACCACUUCAUAUUGAGCUGAAGUUGCCCAUUUUAAUUGUUAAGUGUUGUUGAACUGCUGAACAUGAAGUUUAUUACAUAUAUUGCUUUAGUAUAACGUGUGAAGGGGCUGAAGGCAAUUACUUCAUAUCCCUUUUUUUAACUCCUCUCAUAACUUUCUCUAUAAUUUCAUCUUGCAGAUUAUAAACAAAGACUUUGGAUAUGUUGUUGAAGGCGAUGUGUUUUUUACUGUUGAUAAAUUCUCAAAUUAUGGCAAGUUAUCUGGGCAGAAGCUGGAAAACAAUAGAGCAGGUGAACGUGUUGCUGUUGACUCAAGGAAGCGUAAUCCUUCCGACUUUGCAUUAUGGAAGGUGCAAAACCUACUAACUUACUAGUGAAGUUAGGGUUGUAAUCAAGCUGAGUCUAGCCUAUAGGGGCUCAAGAUUCUUUCCUUUUGAAAUCUUGAGGCUUGAUCAUGGGGAAGCUUUAAUUUUGCUUGAGCUUGUUUUGAAAAAAAUAAAGCUACUUGAGCUCCCUUCAAUUAGGUUCAGUUAUUAUUAACUUUAUUUAAGGAGUAGGUAUUUAUAGUGUGUUCAUGCUUGCGACUUUUGAUCUAAAUUCUAAAAUUUGCCCCUCCCAGAGUUGCUGUACUGUGCUUAAUCUGGUCAAGCUAUAAAAAAAAUUACUCAAAUUACCAUUGCUUUCUAAUGUCUAGCUGUUGAUUGAAAAAACUACCACGUAAACCCUAUGGGUGGGACUCUAAAUAGGCAACUAUAUUUAAAGUACAAGCUAAGUUACCUGAAAUUUUUAUUUUCUCUAAAGUACUUGUGUUCGACAUCUAUGUCCGACACAUUUAGAUACGGAGGUCUUAUCCUCAAAUUAUAUGGAAACUUAAAAAAACAGUGAGCUGUCUGCAUAAGACGCAUCUCAUUAUCCAACAUUCAUCUGAACUCUAGGUUACAUAGAGUUCAAGGAUGACAAACCCUAAUUACAAGAAAACCAAAAUUUAAGACUUGCAAUUUAGAUACCCCUCCCCCUUCAAUGAUAAUGACACAUUUCAUUGAAACUAUUGUUGCACAAAUUCUAAUGUCAAAAUUUCUUCAUUCAUUCUAUUUGCAUCAGUUACCUGCCAUUUAUAAUGUUGGCAUCAUCUCCAAAUUCUGAUGUUGAAUAAUUGUUUCAGGCUGCAAAGCCAGGUGAGCCAUCUUGGGACAGCCCUUGGGGACCUGGACGACCUGGGUGGCACAUAGAAUGUAGUGCAAUGAGUGCACAUUAUUUAAGCUUCAAAUUUGACAUUCAUGGUGGUGGGCUUGAUUUGAUUUUUCCUCACCAUGAAAAUGAAAUUGCUCAAAGUUGUGCUGCAUGCAAAGAGAGUGACGUAAGUUAUUGGAUGCACAAUGGGCAUGUUACUAAUAACAAUGAGAAGAUGUCAAAAUCUUUGGGUAACUUUUUCACAAUUCGCCAGGUGAAGUUGGGGCUUAUUAUUUAUGUUAUUUUCCUCCCCUCUGGUUUUAGUUGCAGAAGUAUUCUCAUAGAGCUUCCUUUUUUAUGUUAAAUUAUUUGUUUUCUUCUAGAUUACUGAGAGAUAUCAUCCACUGGCUUUGCGAUACUUCUUGAUAAAUGCACACUAUCGUUCUCCUCUCAAUUACUCUGUUGUUCAGUUGGAAGGUGCAUCAGACGCUGUUUUUUACAUAUAUCAGGUUUAAAGCUUAUUUCACUGCUAUUUUACCUUGCAAUAGGCAUAUGCUGGUCAGAAUUCAGAUGUCGUAGUACGGACAGUGAUCUGGCCUUUUAGGCUUAAAACUUGGUUAUAUGAAUUGUCUAGGGCUUGUAUACUUGUGAGGUGUCAUGGAUGCAGGAGCGUGCCUCAUUCCAUUUCUUGGAGUUCCGCUAUAUUUUAAUAUUCGCCUCCUUUUACCACUUAAUAUUCUUCUAUAAUUGAUUAGAUUUGCGCUACCAGUAGAGUUGCUUCUAGGUUAAAAAUUACUCAAAAAGUGUGACCAGAUUAUUUGCUGAGUCGACCUGAGAUCCCAAGUUUUUUUCUAAAUCACAGACUCCGGGCAAAUGUACCUGGAGUUAGUUUAGAUUCAAGUCCUUCGGAAAAGUAUCCUUACCUGCUUUGUUGUACAGACUUUGAAAGAUUGUCAAGAUGCUCUAUUGCAACUACAAGAAGAAAUGCCCAACGAUGGCAAACCAGCUCGGAUUAGUCCGGACGCCAAGGAAUGCAUUAGCAAGCUCCGCAAUGAGUUCCAGGUGAAAAUGUCAGAUGACUUGAGCACUUCACUUAUACUGACUGGAGCCUUUCUAGAAGCAUUGAAGUUGGUAAACAAUUUGUUGACCAUGCUAAAGGUAUUUGCUUAUCUUUCCGAAUGCUAGUAACUCUCUUUUAUAUAUAUAAGUCUAUGCCAAGGAAGAUAAAAAUAUAUUUUCUCUUGUAAUUUGACAGAAGAAGCAGCAAAAGCAACAAAGAUUAUUGGUAAUUCAAUCCCUUAAAGAGAUUCAGAACGAAGUUACAAAAGUUUUGGAUGUUCUGGGAUUGCAGCCACCUUUCUCUUAUAACGAGGUGACGGGAUUUACUUAUUAAAUGAUGGUACGGAUUCAUGCCUUCUGUAAAAGUUAACACUAAAGAUGAUGAAUUUCUACUAAACAGGUUUUGCUGCAAUUAAAGGAGAAAGCAUUAACGAGAGCGGGGUUGGUGGAAGAUGAUGUGAUUCGUCUAAUUAAAGAGCGAGCUGAGGUGAGGAGAAACAAAGACUUCUUGAAAAGUGAUCAGAUGAGAGCUCAUUUGCAAGCACAGGGCAUUGCACUCAUGGAUGUAGGCACGGAAACAAUUUGGAGACCUUGUGUUCCUGUUCAACAAGACUCGGAAAUAGUGCCAUCAGAGGGCCAGAAGGUCCCUCCCAAGCCUGAAAGUGCAUAAGAAUGCAGAUCUUGAUUCAAGUUCACCAAAAAAAACAUAUCGAAUUUGCUUCGUAUGGUGGUU
rnacentral:lncRNA from 1 species